GGAGAGGCCAACAGAUGAGGGAAGCCAUUUUUCUGCAAUGGAAUUAAAUGGCCAAGCCCAAGGACUCACAGUUGGAAGACUGGAGAAGACUUUUUAAAAAGAUCUGGAUUUUUCCUUAUGACUUGGAAUCCAUCUUUGUCUUGUAUAACUAGGUCAUAGCACACCAUUCAUGUCAGCAGUUAACAGUUUUGAAUUACAAAAAAACCUAAAGCAGUAAACAGUCCUCAGCGAAGCCGCCUUUUUGCCUACCCAACCCUGGAAAGUUUGCAGAAGUGGAAGGAGCAGAACGUGAGGGUGUAACUUACAAAAAGGUUCUGGGCCGGAGAAGGGGCGACGUUCGGGCACCCCCCGAAUGGACAAUCUUUCCUUCUGUCAACGGCAGGGGCAGGCCUAGUUUGACUCUGACAGUCCUCCCACUAAGGAAUUCCUGGUGACUGGAAGGGGGAGUGACUCAGGCCCUCAACCUCUAGCAGGUAAGGGAGCUGCCUCCUGGGUGGGCAUGCCCAGUUCCUCAGUGGGCCCAGCGCGGCCCAGCCUCCGAGGAAGCUCUGAGCAGCUGGCUUGGCUCGGAGGUAUUUUUAGCUACAGAUCCAGCCCCCCUCCAUCACAACAGUCGAGUCCAAAUCAAACGCACUCCAGGCAGGUGGGGCUGGGGUUCUGCCAGCCUCCUGGCCAGCAGGGGUGGGUGGGCAGACUGGGGCCAGUAUCAGCUGUUCUGCCUGGACCCAGGCCGGGCUGGGAAGGCACACUUGUGCUUAUUUCCCGCCUCCACUUCUGUGCAAGCUUGUGCUGUCAUAAGCAGAGAUCACAGCCCCAUUUCUUGGAUGGAGAAAGUGGACACUGAGGUCUGAGGCUUUUGAGGACAGUCAGGAGCCCUCCUAUGGGCUCCAGUGAUGCACUCACCAGCUUCUGGUCCUCUUCUUCCACCUCUUAGAGUGCCUUGGCUCCCUCCUGUCGUCCUGGGGAACCUCGGCCCCAGCCCUGCCUCCCCAGCCAGUCACAGCUCCUCCCUGGUCACCCU
rnacentral:lncRNA from 1 species